UACGAAGGGGGCUAGCGUUGCUCGGAAUGACUGGGCGUAAAGGGCGCGUAGGCGGUUCAUACAGUCAGAUGUGAAAUUCCCGGGCUUAACCUGGGGGCUGCAUUUGAUACGUGUGGGCUUGAGUGAGGAAGAGGGUUGUGGAAUUCCCAGUGUAGAGGUGAAAUUCGUAGAUAUCAGGAGGAACACCUGUGGCGAAAGCGGCUCACUGGACCAUAACUGACGCUGAUGCACGAAAGCUAGGGGAGCAAACAGG
rnacentral:rRNA from 1 species